AGUUUGAUCCUGGCUCAAACGAACGCUGGCGGCGUGCUUAACACAUGCAAGUCGAGUGCGCGCCUGUAGCAAUACAGGUGGCGCACGGCGCACGGGUGCGUAACACGUGGGCAAUCUGCCCUCUGAUGGGGAAUAACCCGCCGAAAGGCGGGCUAAUACCGCAUAAAAUUCCUUGGACUUAUGUUCGAGGAUUCAAAGGCGUAAGUCGUCGGAGGAGGAGCCCGCGCACGAUUAGCUAGUUGGUAGGGUAAUGGCCUACCAAGGCUUUGAUCGUUAGCUGGUCUGAGAGGAUGGCCAGCCACACUGGAACUGAGACACGGUCCAGACUCCUACGGGAGGCAGCAGUGGGGAAUCUUGCACAAUGGGCGAAAGCCUGAUGCAGCGACGCCGCGUGGGGGAUGAAGCAUUUCGGUGUGUAAACCCCUUUCGAUCCGGACGAAUACCUCGCAAGAGGGGUGACGGUACGGAUAUAAGAAGCCCCGGCUAACUACGUGCCAGCAGCCGCGGUAAGACGUAGGGGGCCAGCGUUGUUCGGAAUUACUGGGUGUAAAGGGUUCGUAGGCGGUGUGGCAAGUUGGGAGUGAAAUCUCUGGGCUCAACCCAGAGGCUGCUUCCAAAACUGCUGUGCUUGAGUGUGAGAGAGGCUCGUGGAAUUGCGGUGUAGCGGUGAAAUGCGUAGAUAUCUGCAAGAACGCCCGUGGCGAAAGCGGCGAGCUGGAUCACUACUGACGCUG
rnacentral:rRNA from 1 species